rnacentral:rRNA from 1 species
AUACGGAGGAUGCGAGCGUUAUCCGGAUUUAUUGGGUUUAAAGGGUGCGUAGGCUGUGCGUUAAGUCAGGGGUGCAAUGCCGUCGCUCAACGACGGAGCUGCCCUUGAUACUGGCGUGCUGGAGUACGGAUGCCGUUGGAGGAAUGAGUGGAGUAGAGGUGAAAUGCUUAGAUAUCACUCAGAACACCGAUUGCGAAGGCAUCUGACGAAUCCGUCACUGACGCUGAGGCACGAAAGCGUGGGGAUAGAACAGGAUUAGAUACCCUGGUAUUCCACGCCGUAAACGAUGAUGACUAACCGUCGGCGAUAGACAGCCGGUGGCCAAGCGAAAGCGAUAAGUCAUCCACCUGGGGAGUACGUCGGCAACGAUGAAACUCAAAUGAAUUGACGGGG